rnacentral:rRNA from 1 species
GAAGCGGCAACAGCUCAAAUUUGAAAUCUGGCGCAAGCCCGAGUUGUAAUUUGUAGAGGAUGCUUCUGGGUAGCGGCCGGUCUAAGUUCCUUGGAACAGGACGUCAUAGAGGGUGAGAAUCCCGUAUGUGACUGGCUUGCACCCUCCACGUAGCUCCUUCGACGAGUCGAGUUGUUUGGGAAUGCAGCUCUAAAUGGGAGGUAAAUUUCUUCUAAAGCUAAAUACCGGCCAGAGACCGAUAGCGCACAAGUAGAGUGAUCGAAAGAUGAAAAGCACUUUGGAAAGAGAGUUAAAAAGCACGUGAAAUUGUUGAAAGGGAAGCGCCCGCAACCAGACUUUGCGGCAGUGUUCCGCCGGUCUUCUGACCGGUCUACUCGCUGUCGUGAGGCCAUCAUCGUCUGGGACCGCUGGAUAAGACCUUAGGAAUGUAGCUCCCUUCGGGGAGUGUUAUAGCCUCUGGUGAUGCAGCGCGUCUCGGGCGAGGUCCGCGCUUCGGCAAGGAUGAUGGCGUAAUGGUUGUCGGCGGCCCGUCUUGAAACACGGACCAAGGAGUCUAACAUCUAUGCGAGUGUUCGGGUGUCAAACCCCUACGCGUAAUGAAAGUGAACGGAGGUGGGAACUUUUUGUGCACCAUCGACCGAUCCUGAUGUCCUCGGAUGGAUUUGAGUAAGAGCAUAGCUGUUGGGACCCGAAAGAUGGUGAACUAUGCCUGAAUAGGGUGAAGCCAGAGGAAACUCUGGUGGA